AGUGAACGCUGGCGGUAGGCCUAACACAUGCAAGUCGAACGGCAGCACAGUAAGCGCUUGCUCUUACGGGUGGCGACUGGCGGACGGGUGAGGAAUACAUCGGAAUCUACUUUUUCGUGGGGGAUUACGUAGGGACACUUACGCUAAUACAGCAUACGAUCUACGGGUGAAAGCAGGGGAUCUUCGCACCUUGCGCGUCUGAAUGAGCCGAUGUCGGAGUAGCUAGUUGGCGGGGUAAAGGCCCACCAAGGCGACGAUCCGUAGCUGGUCUGAGAGGAUGAACAGCCACACUGGAACUGAGACACGGUCCAGACUCCUACGGGAGGCAGCAGUAGGGAAUAUUGGGCAAUGGGCGCAAGCCUGAUGCAGCCAUACCGCGUGGGUGAAGAAGGCCUUCGGGUUGUAAAGCCCUUUUGUUGGGAAAGAAAAGCAGCAUGUGAAUACCCCGCUGUUCUGACGGUACCCAAAGAAUAAGCACCGGCUAACUUCGUG
rnacentral:rRNA from 1 species